UUAUUUUGUUGGACAGGUGCAGUAGGUGCUGAUCUGUGGGGUGGAGCUGAGGGUCUGUGACUCCCUGCUGACUGAGGAAGGGUGUUAAAACUCCACUCCACGAUCUGCGCCUUUGGCAGAACGGCUGAAUAUGUCUUGAGCUCUAGUACCAAUAAGUGCUGCUUGAUCUCUGGGCGGAGGCCCCACUAGAACCUCCUAGCCUUCCUGCCCUCAUCUAUCAAUGUCUCAUCAGAGUAUCGGCCCAGCUCUAGGAACUUACGAGCAUAUUCCGAUGCUGUCAUAUUUUCCUGACUAGUUGGACAAACUCCAUCUCCUUCAUAUGUCGGAUGUGCUCGGGGAGGUACUCCGCAUGAAAGGCUGCUAAGAACUGCUCCCAAGUGACUGGUGUAGGCAGGGUGGUCUACUUGAGCUCCCACCAACGGCCUGCUUCCCCCACCAGCAUGUAGGAAGCAAGGGUAACCCUCUGCUCGGGAACUACUCUUAAGGUCUUGAAAGCCUUCUC
rnacentral:lncRNA from 1 species